UAAGGCACACUGCCUGCUUUUAUUUAUAGGCUGAUUCAACUUGUCAAUUUCAAAUGUUUUUCAAACAAGUUUUAUUUUCUAACAACAGUUUGAAUUGAGGUGUAGGACAUUUUACUUUUGCGGACAAUACAUUUAUUUAGGCAUUACUAAGCCGGACAAACUUCCCAAGCACUUAUUGUUCCCCAGAUCAAGUAUGCAGAAAUGUGCGCAUCUCCAGUCAGAACAGGACCUGCACAAACUUUUCACAUUAUCUAGCUGGUGCCCGCUUCGCUUUCACUGUUAUUUUCAUUACUAUAUGAUAAUAACUUUUGACAUGUGUGCGUUUCUAUCAAAGUAAGUGCCUUGUUACUUUAUAAUAGUUUCUGUAUGUCGUGUUAUGACGUUUCUACUGUAGCUCCUUGUAUGUAUGGAGCAUAAUACAUUUGUUUAUAUUCCUCAUAACCGCGGACACGCGAGGUAAAGUUACUAAUUUCAUAACCUUCAUGUUAUAUUCAAUCGUGCUUAUGUAGCUAGCUACGAUCGUCUAUUAGCUCUGUAAAACAAUGUAAAUUGCGUCAGAGAAUUAUUCGCUUGUGUUGUCUUUUGAAACUACCCUGGCCUUAUGACCAUGGUUUGUUUUCAUUUGGACUGUUUAGCAUAAUUCUGUUCUGCCCUGCUCUGCCCCAUUGUGGAGCUCAUUUACUGUUUCUUAUUAUUAUAAAACUCAUAUUUGCGAUUUCGUUUUUUUAAUACAAUAUAUUAUAUUUAUAGCAGUGUUAUUAUAUUACUUCUUUGUAAUAUUGUUGUAUUGCUAUAUCCUGAUAUUGUAUUCUAAUUACUAAUAAUUCCUCUUUAAUUAUGUACUUUCAGAAACCACAUACACAAACAAUAUUGAACAUUAUUUGCCGAUAUCCCAAGUGGAACUGCACGUCUUUGGAGCUGAAGAUUGAGGCCUUUGAGCUUUUGUAUGAAAACACAGCGAGGAAACACAUAGGCCAAUAUGUAAUAGUCGUCUAUCUUAUUUGAAGUAUUGGUGGUGGUUAAACAAAAACAACACCAAAAACUUGUUUUACUACAGGAAAAAAAACUGCAAGAAAGGACUGACAAUUUAGGGAUAUUCAUAACCCAUAUUUCAUAUUCAUGCAGGGAUUGAACAACAACUGCAUUUCCACCCAACACCUCUAAAGGCAUAAUAUCAUGGCAGAUCACCGGUCAUGUCACCUGUCACGUCAGUCAGUCAGUCAGUCAGUCAGUCAGUAAUUGAUGCAGAUGUGCUCAGUAGUGCUUGAGCAUACGGUACCCCCCAAAGCGUGAUGAAACACAUAGAGGUGUGUCACAAGCUAAACACUUGUACUUUGUCAACUUCCUCUGCUUCCUUGUCCUGGUGCCAGACAGGCAGGCAGGCUUUGCAGUACCUCCAUGUGUGACUACCUUGAGCAGCAGUUUGAGGGACUUGCCGUGCAGUGAGGCGUAGGGGAUUGUCUGCAGCAGGGCGCCCCCCAGUGGAUGGGCGUCGAGGGGUGUGUUGUGCACCUCCAGCAGCUCUCGCAUUAGGUUCUCUCUGUACUUUUGGUCCUCUGUCAGAAACAGCUUGAAGCAAUCUGCCUCAGAGGGAAAUGACAAGGGGCUUUGCACUGCAGACUGGGACUCAUCAAAGCAAACAGCAGGGUCAGGAGGGGUGAAAUGGCUGGCGGCCGUCCUGCUACCAGAAACCUCCCGUACUUGAUCCACUGUCUGUCUGCCUCCAUCACCAGCAGCACCUUCAAAGGGACCUGGGACUUCGUCAGUGGACAAGGGGUCCUCUGAUUCAGGAUUCUCAAUGGCUAAAAAAUUGGGGGGCAGCUCCUCACUGUCACUGUCAAAAUCUGAUUCCUGACUUUCAUACUCAGAUUCAUUGUCAGAAUUGAUAAAAAUCUCCAGGAUUUCUGCAUUUGUGAGUUGUUUUCUUUUGAAAGACAUUACAAAUACAGCUUAGCCCACUAGCUACAUACAUAAACAACAACACUGAAUGGCUCAGAUUGGGAGUUAGAGGUUACGUGAUUGACUGUCAAUAAAUCACUAUCAGAAAAUGA